rnacentral:lncRNA from 1 species
GCGCGGGCGGGAGGGGCGGCGGGUUGGCUGCGGGCUCUGCACACGCAGCCCCGGGCACUGCCGCGGAGGGCCGAUGCCACCGGAACACGGGGUCGGGCCACCGCGUUCCCGCUGCAUACUCAGCCGGGCGCCGCGCUGCGGUCCGAGCCAGCGGGGAGAGGGCGGCGGCCGUGCCGUGGAACCCCUGCUUACUGUGGUAACUUACAAGAUGAUAAUUCAUGUGGUUGCCGAUGAUUCUGAGUAUACACAGCUUUUAUCCCAGGUGUGCCAUUUUGAAGACUGAGACUAUAGAGUUUUAAGAAUAAAGGAGAGAGCCCUUGGGAAAUUCUGUAUUGUAUAUAGCAAGAAUGUGAAUCCUUAAAUGGAAUGAAAAGCCUAUACCAUAGACAUCGAAGCCUUUACACCCCGCUUGAAGAGUUUGAAAUGGACUUUACCACAGAAAUCAAGAUGGCAGCCCAUUAUGGGGAAUUGAGGAAAAUGGAUUAAUGCAAGAAUGCUGUAAUAUUACACAACCAACA